rnacentral:rRNA from 1 species
UGUGUAGGCGGUUCUCUAAGUUUGGUGUGAAAUCUCCCGGCUCAACCGGGAGGGUGCGCCGAAAACUGGGAGACUAGAGUGCGGGAUGGGAGAGUAGAAUUCCUGGUGUAGCGGUGAAAUGCGUAGAUAUCAGGAGGAAUACCGGUGGUGUAGACGGCUCUCUGGACCGCAACUGACGCUGAGACACGAAAGCGUGGGUAGCAAACA